rnacentral:lncRNA from 1 species
UAUAUAAUUGAGCUGAUCAAUACAAGUACAACUAUUUAUUCCACCCAAGAAUAGUGGUAGUUUGAGCACAGGGAUUAUUAUUACUGUGUAUCAGUAUCAGAUCUGUCCCGAUACGGCACACAUAACUAGGAUGUCUCUCUCUCUCUUUUCUUCUAGGAGCCAGAGGUGCAUGAGUUCAAGAUCAGCAACUUGAGAGAUUGCUGUAUAAGCCCAAUUUACAAAGGUGUGAAUGGGCCUUUGUAUAACAGAUAUCAGCCACAGAAUCAGUGAACAGUUCCACUCUUCCAUAAACUACAUAUCCCAUAAAUAAGAUCAGACACUACAGACCAGAAUAAGAAGUUCAUGCUUGGUGGAGCCUCUAUCUGGUCAGCUGAUAAGUUAUUGGUGUUUUUUUUUAUUGGCUUUAUUUUUACUUCUGCAUGCAUUAUUUUAUGCAUUGUCUACAUCAUGCACUGGAUGGUAGGAGUCUUUUUCUGUCUCUAUUGUAUACAUUUAAUAUUAAUGGGCAUCAGAUCUAGAACAAGUUGAGGGAGUUUGGGUUUUUAUGGGGGUAAGUGUCAG